CAAUAGCGUAUAUUAAAGUUGUUGCAGUUAAAAAGCUCGUAGUUGGAUUUCGGAGCCGACCGGGCGGUCUGUCGAGAGACACGCACUGCUCGGUGGCUCUUCCUCCCGGAGGCCCUGGCUGCCCUUAACUGGAGCGGGCAGGGGAUUCGGGACGUUUACUUUGAAAAAAUUAGAGUGUUCAAAGCAGGCCGGUGCUUGGAUACAUUAGCAUGGAAUAAUGGAAUAGGGCUUGGGUCCUAUUUUGUUGGUUUUCGGGACCGAGGUCAUGGUUAAGAGGGACAGUUGGGGGCAUUCGUAUUCAAUUGUCAGAGGUGAAAUUCUUGGAUUUAUGGAAGACGAACAACUGCGAAAGCAUUUGCCAAGGAUGUUUUCAUUAA
rnacentral:rRNA from 1 species